AUUGAACGCUGGCGGCAGGCCUAACACAUGCAAGUCGAGCGGAUGACAGGAGCUUGCUCCUGGAUUCAGCGGCGGACGGGUGAGUAAUGCCUAGGAAUCUGCCUGGUAGUGGGGGACAACGUUUCGAAAGGAACGCUAAUACCGCAUACGUCCUACGGGAGAAAGCAGGGGACCUUCGGGCCUUGCGCUAUCAGAUGAGCCUAGGUCGGAUUAGCUAGUUGGUGAGGUAAUGGCUCACCAAGGCGACGAUCCGUAACUGGUCUGAGAGGAUGAUCAGUCACACUGGAACUGAGACACGGUCCAGACUCCUACGGGAGGCAGCAGUGGGGAAUAUUGGACAAUGGGCGAAAGCCCGAUCCAGCCAUGCCGCGUGCGUGAAGAAGGUCUUCGGAUUGUAAAGCACUUUAAGUUGGGAGGAAGGGUUGUAGAUUAAUACUCUGCAAUUUUGACGUUACCGACAGAAUAAGCACCGGCUAACUCUGUGCCAGCCGCCGCGGUAAGAC
rnacentral:rRNA from 1 species